rnacentral:rRNA from 1 species
AUUGAACGCUGGCGGCAGGCCUAACACAUGCAAGUCGAACGAGUGGCGGACGGGUGAGUAAUGUCUGGGAAACUGCCUGAUGGAGGGGGAUAACUACUGGAAACGGUAGCUAAUACCGCAUACACUCAGCUGUGCCCAGAUGGGAUGAGCUUGUUGGUGGGGUAACGGGUCACAAAGGCGACAGUCCCUAGCUGGUCUGAGAGGAUGACCAGCCAGACUGGAACUGAGACACGGUCCAGACUCAUACGUGAGUCAGUAGUGUGGAAUAUUGCACAAUGGGCGCAAGCCUGAUGCAGUAAUGCCGCGUGUAUGAAGAAGGCCUGCGGUUUGUAAAGUACUUUCAGCGUGGAGGCGUUAACCGCAGAAGAAGCACCGGCUAACUCCGUGCCAGCAGCCGCGGUAAUAC